rnacentral:rRNA from 1 species
GUAGGGAAUCUUGCGCAAUGGGCGAAAGCCUGACGCAGCCAUGCCGCGUGAAUGAUGAAGGUCUUAGGAUUGUAAAAUUCUUUCACCGGGGACGAUAAUGACGGUACCCGGAGAAGAAGCUCCGGCUAACUUCGUGCCAGCAGCCGCGGUAAUACGAAGGGGGCUAGCGUUGCUCGGAAUUACUGGGCGUAAAGGGCGCGUAGGCGGAUAUUUAAGUCGGGGGUGAAAGCCCGGGGCUCAACCUCGGAAUAGCCUUCGAUACUGGAUAUCUUGAGUACGGGAGAGGUGUGUGGAACUCCGAGUGUAGAGGUGAAAUUCGUAGAUAUUCGGAAGAACACCAGUGGCGAAGGCGACACACUGGCCCGUUACUGACGCUGAGGCGCGAAAGCGUGGGGAGCAAACAGGAUUAGAUACCCUUGUAGUCC